rnacentral:lncRNA from 1 species
UCGUAUAUGACUGAUAUAUUCUAGAUUUUUUUUUUUUUUAAGAGAUAGAUGAUAUGCUCUACGCUUCGUUUAUUUCAUUUAAAAAUAAACUUAGCUGGAUAUGUGAAUCAACUAGAAUUCGAACUUAUAAUUUUGAAUGCAUUAAGCCUUUUGUCACUUGAGCUAGGAACGGUCGAUGCAGAUCGUAGUGGUUAAAAUGAAGAGUAGUGCUACAAGUACACCCCUGUUUGGGGUAUACAUCCUACAACUGCCAAACCAAACGGUUGAGAAUAAUGAGAUUUUUUUAUUAAAAAGUGUUGAUAACUUUACUCCCUCUUUUUCUUUUUUUUUUAUCUUUUCUUUCCCUAUUUUCCUCCCGACUUUCUCUUCGCUCCCUCCUCUUUUUGUCCAUCUUCACUUCCUCUCUCUUUCUUCGUCUUUCGUCGAUUCUUCGACGAAUUCGUGUCCUGUGGCCAUCCGCCUGUUCUCUUAUUCUAUUUUCGGCUAGAGUUCUCAGUUCUCAUCUGCUAAUUUUUCUCUUUAAUUUGUUCCCACUUGUGCAUCCUUCUCGGUUGUCAUUUUUAACUCUAUCCUACGCCAGUCACGAUAGCCGCGUCCCAUAUUAGAUGAGAUGUAAAGAUUAGGAUGAAGUUGUAAAUUUGAGGUAGAAAAUAUAGAAAUUAGUUAGGUGUUUUUUUUUUUUUUUUUUGAGAGAGAUAGGUAGCACACUACCCGCUUCAUUUAUUUUAUUUUAAAAUAAACUUACCUAGAAAUGUGAAUCAAGUAGGAUUCGAACUUGGGACGGUACUAACCACCAAGUCUUUUACCACUUGGUUUAGGGACGGUCCGUAAUUAGUUGGGUGUAGUUAAGGAUAGAAUUAGUUAGGUGUAGUUGAGACUUGAGAAAUUAUAAAAAUUUUUA